UACUGGUGAAACCGGAAAGGACUCCGGGC
rnacentral:sRNA from 1 species